UCAACCUACAGCCUGCUGGGAGGGAGCUAGAGGUUGUGUGAUGCCAAAGAGCAGGAGAGGAGCAGAAGUUCAGUUGGUCAUCAGUGGUGGUGCAAUGCUCCAGAUCCUGGACUCACUGCUGAAGGAACUUUGGACAUUUCUGGCAUUGGGUAUCAUCUUACUUUACAGUGUGACUAGGGGAAAAAGGAGCAGAAGCUAAAUAUGUCAGAGGACAUCACUGAAAGAUUACAAAGGUAGUGAAGAAUGAACCGCCUUCAUCAGGCUGCUUUGCUGAAGACAAGUCCUUUGAAAGGCUUCAGUUUUGUUAUGACUCCAUUCAGUGAGCCCUUCCGUACUGCCCUGGGUAGCUUUGCUGCCCUUCACCUGCCUGCGGAUGG